AUACGUAGGGGGCGAGCGUUGUCCGGAAUGAUUGGGCGUAAAGGGCGCGUAGGCGGCCCGGUAAGUCUGGAGUGAAAGUCCUGUUUUUAAGAUGGGAAUUGCUUUGGAUACUGUCGGGCUUGAGUGCAGGAGAGGUAAGUGGAAUUCCCAGUGUAGCGGUGAAAUGCGUAGAGAUUGGGAGGAACACCAGUGGCGAAGGCGACUUACUGGACUGUAACUGACGCUGAGGCGCGAAAGUGUGGGGAGCAAACAGGAUUAGAUACCCUGGUAGUCCACACUGUAAACAAUGAAUGCCAGGUGUAGGGGGUAUCGACCCCUUCUGUGCCGCAGUCAACACAAUAAGCAUUCCGCCUGGGGAGUACGGCCGCAAGGUUGAAACUCAAAGGAAUGGACGGGG
rnacentral:rRNA from 1 species